rnacentral:lncRNA from 1 species
UUUUGUCUAAGUAGCUGGGCCGGCCCGUUUGUGGGGAAAUCACCGCAGCGUAAACACAAUCGAGUUAGUACUCUUCCCUCAAGAAAAUAAAAAAAUCAAGUUAGUACUCUCUCUGAUCCAAAUUAAUUGUCACAGCUGUAGUACAACUAUCCCCUAAAUAAAGUAAGAAAAUUCAACAAUCACAGUAAAUUCAACAACCACAGUACAGAGUACUUAUGUUCUCAAGUUUAGUUGAGAAGUGUACAACUUUAUUCUCUGAAUUUUGUACUCGUUCCUCUCUUAUUUCAUAGGCAUACAUGAGGCAAUCGAUCUGGUCGUACUCAUGAAGAUGACAGAAUUGCACUCUAGUGCAGCUUCUCGUGGGCUUCCCUCCGUUGCUGGGCGAUGAACUCGAACAGGCUACCAUCGAAGCAGCGGCGAACAGCUUCCCUGGAGAGGAACCCUUCCUCGUCCUUGGCAAGCACGUACAACAGUAUCCACUCUCCCUUGCUCACAAUCCUGAAUGUACAUGAGUUCAGACCAAACAUGAGUGGAACAACGCUUCCACAGUUCAUUUCAAGUCACUGACUGCUGAUGAAACAAAAGAUGCAAUCGAAAUGGUUUGAUGCCAUCCAAUUCAUUUAUUGUCCCAAAUUAUUGCAUAUGAAACACAAAAAACAACUCAAGUAAACUGCUGAUGAAUUCGUCAGUGCUCUGCUCACCAUCCAAUGAAGUCGAAGUUAAGCCGGUUGCCUUCGGUCAUCCUCCAGAUGUCGCCGAAGCUAAGCUUGUCCGGCGCCGUGCGGGCAUACUUGCUGAAGAUGCUCUCGAAAUUUACCGGCAUGAACCUAUAUUUGUUUCCCAGUUGGAACGUUUUUUUUCUGAAAGAUGGUGUAAAGUUUUGAACUAGUAGUAAGCAAGUUUGGAGUGUGGAUUUACCUUCCCUCUGUGUCAUAAGUUGAGGAAUCGCUACCAUGCUUAUCCCUAUGGAUGUUCUUGAUGUAUACGGGCAACAAGAGAGACGGUAUCCAGCUCUAUAUAUAGCCAUUAUGAAAAGCAAGGAUGAAUAAGAGCCUGAUGAAACUUUCCAAGGAAAAAAGAAUGUCGAGUAUAGUGUAUACAAUAUGGUAAUCAUAUUUCAAAUCUUUUUGUACUUACAGGUAGAGUUGGGAAGCUGAAACCAAUAUUAAAGACAAUUGCGAAUACGAACGACACGAUCACGUUGAAGCCCAAUGCCCUCAUUCCUGGAAUUCAGGCAAUAUAAGUACAUAAACUACGGCAACCACCGUCAAAUUUUGUGGUUCUAAAAUAUAAUUUUUGAAGAGCCCUGUCGCUAAAGCUAUGCAUAUUUCACACUACACUAAAUAUGAUGUUAAUAACUCACUAAUUUCCGUCACCGUGCUAAAUUUGAAGUUAUUUCACGCCGCUAAGCCGUCGUGGCCAGAGGAAUAACGCAAGUGAGUUCGAUAAAGCCAUCCAUCUGUCUCAUUCUUUCUUCUUGUUUUCGAUAUAUAGGAUGCAUUGAUGCAACACUUGGUUAUUGAAUGAGCAUGUUUGUGUUUUUUUUUAAUGCCUGGAGAUGUGUAUGUCAAAUAUAUGUGAUACCUUACAUAUGAUGUCUGAUUGCAUGCUUAUUUCUUUUCAUGAUUCAAGAAAAAUACAAAAUGAAACAUAGUUUCGAUAUAGUUUGAGUUUUGCUUCAGCACACCCCCCUUAAAAGUUUACACGAUUCUUGAAGUUAUUUAAAAAGGAUAUCGCCAUAUUAGCUUGCAGAUCAAACUUACUGAAUAGAUUGACAUGGAUACAGAGACUGUUUUACCCUUUUUGAUUGAAGGGGUAAAUGAUGAUCUCCACUUUAAUCCGCAUUGAAAUCUGUACUAUUUUUAAGGGGGUGUAUCGAAACAAUGUUCGUAUUAAGUUUUUGAUAGCUUCUGGCCAAGCUGCAGCUAAAUGCCCGCCACUUAAUCCUUUGAAACUAAUUGAACCUCUUCACAAGAAUUUUACGAACAGGCCAUAUACAAAUACAUACCUCCAUAAGUUUCCCAGGGAUAGACGAUGCCGUCGCCAUCCAGGUCGAAGAAGGCCACAUGCUGCUGCAGCACGCUCUUCUGCCCGUGCUCGUGCCCCUCCACGGCCCCUUCAGGAUGGUACACAUCGGGCACGACCAGAGCUCGAGCCAAGUCUGCAUGCAUCCAUGCCUGUUAGUCAUGCUUUCUGCCUUGCUGAUGAAACCAUGCACGUACUACGAACGGAAGAAACGGGGCAGGCACCCACAGGGCUUUGGGAGGUGUGUCUCCAGGUCUGGCCGUACCGGCCGCUCGGCCGUCACCGGCGCCUCCUCCGCCACCGUCGACGUUGCGUCGGCGGGCGCCUUAGCUUCCUCCGCCAUAAAACCCUCUGUGCGCGUGCGCCACACUUUCCGGCUUGAUCUCGCGAGUCCUGCUCUUCUUUAUAUACACGCAAAGGAAGGAAGCGCACCCACGGUGCGUGUGCAGCGAGCGACAAGUGAAAGUGUGCACGAUUGCUUUACCCCCGAGGUGUCACUUCGUGAUUUGGCACCGGGAGCCUUCUCUGUGGUCUGUGGCGGCUUGUACAGUGAGGUCGCUCUCCCGAUCCGUUGUCCGUCCAUGUCACAUCAUUGUCCAUGAGGCAUGAGCCGUACGGUUCCAUCUCCCUCGUGCUGUGCCACAUACAUUUUGCGGUUAAUCUGCUUGACACGAAACGUUACGCGCCUCUGGUUUUCGCCCGCGUGCGCGUUGUGGAAAUUUGUAAAAAGAAAUACAGAAUUAGAUGCGCUUUUCUUAAAAUGGAAGUUUUUCUUGUUCAUGAUAAAAUCAUAAAGGUGUCCCCGCGAAAUAAAACCCAUAAAGGUGUUUGGUUUGUCAGCCAAUAUGAAAAGGGUCACGCUCUGUGUUGGUCAGGUGAAAACUGAAAAAAAAAAUACGGCCAUCUCUCUAGCCGAAGAAUCCAUGGGAGUCGGACGGUUAAGAUCUCUAUACCUAACUAGCAAACAUGCCUGUGUGUUGCAAUGGAAGAAAAAAAUCACCUCUCAUACACACACUCGACGACAUCAACAAAUCACUUGAAAUCUUUCACGGUGCCAUACAAGAAACAACAUGAUAAGUGAUGUUGUGCACGAACAUAAAUGGUUGGACGAUUUUUUAAGUGUACAGAAGUUGUAUCCAAUUUAUUAGACAACAAAAAUAUCUACCUAGUUGAUACACGUCUUUGCUACGUCCUCCUCAGUGAUACUCAACAAAACAGUGAAUUAGGCUGGAAAUAGCAAAGCACACUUUAGUACUCAAUGAAGCAUGUGCAUAAGAGCAUUAUUUUGUCUUGUUGAUAUAUGUGUUUGCAACUGUAAUCCAAGUCAAGACUUAAUGUGGUUACAAACAUAUAAGACAUCUCCACCGAAAACAAUCAAUUUGUAAGAACAUGCAUAAUGAGUAUGCAUUUUCAAAAUACCCCAUAUAAAGAAAAGUAUUAAUUAAGCAUGCAACAUAAACAUAAUUCUAGAAAUAAUUAACAUGCAAGAUAAUAUCAUAUUUGGAGUCUACCCCAUAUAAAAAUCAAUAUUAAUUAAGGGUGCAACAUAAACAGAAUUUUAGAAAUAAUUAACAUGCAAGAUAAUAUCAUAUUUGGAAUCUACACAUUUUUUUGAGCGAUUUUCAUAUAUAACAUUUUAAAUUUGAAGUUAGGUUUUGAAAGUAUGAUUUUCUUUUUGAAAAAUACUUGAAUCUGCCAAAAAAGGAGAAAAAUUUAAGAGAAAGUAGCCAGCUCUAUCUUACGCCAACCUAAAAUCAAGGGGAAAGGGAGAAAAAAGGAAGAAAGUAGAGAUCAAACUCAAGUCUCCCGGGUAGUAGUAUAAGGCUCUUGCCAAUAGGACGCUUGUGCACUUGUGAUUUAUCAUGUGAUAGCUGUCUACAAGAACCAAACACGAUGGGCGGCGAAUUUAAAAAAAAUGAAUAGUUUUUGCCACUUACUAGUGGUAGUGGGGGUAAAUAUUAUCAACUUAUAGGACACUUUUAAUGAUGGUGAACGGGCAGAAACAAACCAUGCGCUAUUAUAUUCCUAACUAAUAAUAAUAAAUUCCCUAAAUUUUUUAAUAAUAAUAAAGAGGCUAUUGCUUCCGGCGGUAUGUCACCGAAAUUUAUAAAGUUGCAAAAUAUUACCCACUGAUGUCACCUUUUUUAGGGAUACCGAUGCCACCUAUAAGUAAAAAAAAAACGGUUUUCACAGGGGAAUCCCCGCCUGGGCGGGCCCAUGCAGUGGGAACCUUCUAUACUGCAUUCUGUGCGCUGGUAGAAGACACAGCACGCCUGUUUGGGCCGGCAUAUGUCCGGGUGGCCUGUUUUUUACAUUUUAUUUUUUACUUUUUGUUUUACUUUUCCGUCUUUGGUUUUUUAUACUUUAAAUCAUUUGAGACUACAAAAAACUUCCAAAAAUUAAUAACCUGCAUAUUUUGAAAUAAAAUGUUUAAUAAUGCAAUGUUGGUGGAUUCAGAAAAUGUUUGUGAUUUUUAGAAAAUGUUCGCAUAUUCAAAUAAUGUUCGCCAUUUUGGAAACAAAUGUUCAUAAAAUCAAAAGGUGUUCGUGAUGUUUCUAAAAAUUUCACAUAUUAAAAAUGUUAAUGAAAUUGAAUAAAAAAUUCGAAUUCAAAAAAUGUUCAUGAAUUCAAAAAUCGUAAAAAAUAAAAAUUGUUCAUGACUUACAAAAUAGUUUAUUGAUUCAUAAAUGUUGGCUGAUUCAAAAAAAAUGAUCAUGCAUUUCAAAAAAUGUUUGUUAAAUCAAAAAAAUGUUCAUGAAUUUAAAAAAUUGUUCGACCAAUUUCCAAAAAAUGUUUAUCGAUUCUAGAAUGUUCAAAAAAGUUUAAAAACUGUUCAAUUUUUUAAAAAAUGUUUGCAAAUAGUAUAAAAUAUUCAUGAAUCCAAAAAUAUUCAUGAUUUGAGCAAAUAUUCGAAAUCUAUAAAACAAUUCAUGAAUUUGAAAAAUGAUCAUGAUUUUAGAUAUGUUCAUGUGUUUCAAAAAAUGUUCAUGAUUUUUUUUAAAUCACUAUCUUACGAAAAUGAGAGUGAUAGUGUUCUCGGUGAUGCGGAAAAAUGUGAUCAUGGGCAUUAGAGAUUAUGAUUUUUUUUCUCCUGUUGCAAAACACGGGUCGUUUUCCUAGUCUUUAUUCACGUGGACUGCUGAAGCUGCGGGGCAGCUACACGCACGUCUUUCACACAUCACACCGGGGUAACAUCAGAUUUCAGGCCAACCUGGCGCCGUGCUGUCCAGGUUAGAAUCCUGGUAAACUCCCGGCCAUGUAGUUUUUAGCAAUGCAUAUGGCGUACAUUUUUUUAAUGAGAUCCAUGGACACUAGCACCCAGAAAAAUUAGAUACAUUAAAACUGAGCACCUUCCCCAGUCCAUCGAUGCUCCUAGCCGUUCGAUACUCGCUCUUGAGCAUUUUUGUCCGUCAGAUUAGGUGUGAAUUGCAUGUAAUAUGGCUUCGCUCGCUAUUAACGAUCGCUAGCCAUAUUGGCCUGCUGGUUCGGUCACUUUUUUGAGCGUCUCACGUUAAAUUGGGCCUAAUGGGCCUGUAGCAGCCUCCCCCACGCGCGAAAUAGGAAAGGACAAGACUAUGUGACCCUCAUUUCGUUUGCAAGGUCUCACGCUCCCACCCCAGCCUGGCGGCUGGGUGACCUAUGCGGAAGCGACGACUCCGACGGCGACCACGCUGGAUUCAGAAAGAGACGAAUCAGUCCAGCGAUAGGGUCACGUCCGAAAUCCGAUGAAUCAUGCCACCUCGGCUUUGCGGUUAUGAUUCUUAGCGCCGCCAGGAUGUUGGCCAGUGGCCGUUGUCCUCUUAAGACAGGGAGGGGAUCCACUCUCAGAUCGGCGGCGACGAGGGGAUCCACUACUCUAAUCUCAGGCAACCGAUGCAUCACGGAAGGGAAGGACUUCGAUGCAGCGGGGGAUGGUCUCCACUUCGUGGUUGUGUGGGGCUCCAGCCUUUACUUCCCCAUGGUGUCCACUGGUACAAACCAUUCCCUUUCCUUUUAUCUUGGAUGCUCUUAGAGCAUAUCCAGUCGUUGGCCCUCCAGGGGGCUCGAAAAAUCGCCGCCUGAGGAUAAACCGGCGCUAAAAAUCGGCUUGGGGCGAUGGGGUUCUCAGCCGCCGCCUUCAGGGUCGCCUCCAGUCGCCCUUUUUAAAAUAUUUUUGAAAAGAAACUCGGCUAAAAUUCAGCAAACAUUACAAAGAUUCGGCAAACAGGGCAUAAAUUUCGGCGUUCUAUAUUUUUUACAUAGAAAACUUAAAAUUUACUAAAUAAAAAACUCGCUGAGCGCGGCGUAGUCGCCGUCGUCCUUCUCCUUCUUCACGCUGCUGGAACCCUGCCCGAGGUCGCCCUGGCGGAAAGGUUUGGCCGAUGGCGGCGUGUCGUUGUCGCUGUCUUCAAGCACGAUGACGCCCCCUUUGUCGCGCCCUUGGCGGCGCACGGCGAUCUCUGCCAGCGCGGUGCUGGCGGUCCAUCUCCAGCCGCGCCCAAUCUUCCCGCGCCCACUUCAUGGCCACCUCGUCGUCGAGCUCCGGUUCCGUCUUCACAGCGGCGAGCCCCGGUGCCGGUGGCUGUUUUAAGAAACAAUUAACAAUUAACAAACAAAAAUUUAAGAAUUCUCCAGUAUAUUUUAAAUCAUAAAUUCUAAAGUAAGUAUUUUUUAAGAAUUCACCAAUACAUGAUUUUUUUUUAAAACUCUUAAGUAUCCUAAAUUUUAAAGUAUUUCGAAGUUUUGCACAUCUAUAAAAUUUGUGAACAAUAUUUAGUUUCAUGAAUAUUUUAAAAUAUCCAUGAGCAUCUUUAAAUUAUGCAGAAUUAUUUUACUUAGUAAGUAUUUAUUAAACCUGCAACUUUAAAAAUUCAUGGUGUUUUUUUAAAUAACUCAUUAUUUAUAUCCGGCCAAAACCAGCAGCAGUUUUUUCGGAACCAGGGGUGAGUGAUCUUUUCAUUAGGUUUUCUCUUUUUUGAAAUACAGUACAGACGCAAGCGCUCAUAUUCACGAGCAUAUACUCACCCCUAUGAACGCAUACACGUACACCCUAACCCUAUGAGCAUUUUCGAAAGACUGAGCCGGCAUAUCAUCUUGAAAUUUAUGAAGUCACAAUAGACACCUCGUCGUCGAGGGAAACGUCUCCUCCCACUGAAUACACAUCACCGAAAAUCCUAGAAUAAAUACGAGCAUCAGAUUUUGAACCCUGCUGGCUGGGGAUACCGCAGUCCCUCUAACCAUUCAACCAUAAGUUUGAUUCGCUCAUUAGGUUUUUCCUUCCGAGCGUAAAUUGCCCAUAUUUCUGUCGAGUACCUGGGCCGCCCCGUUUACCGGGAGAUCACCGCAGCGCAAACACAAUCGAGUUUAGUACAAUAAGAGAAUUCAAAUAUCACAAUACAUAGUACUUGUACAACUUUAUUCUAUGGACUUCGUACUCGUUCCUUGUUAGGUUGAUCUCUCUCCCGUUCGAACCCAACGGGUCGAACGGGCCCCUGACUCGCGCCCUGAUUGGAGGCGCCCAACCAAACCAUGGUUGGUGGGCCCCUAUGACCCGCGCUAUAUAAACAGAGGUGGGGGCCGGGGCACGACUUACGAGGUUAAUCGCUGCCACAAUCCCCACCUACAAUACCUACUGAUCUAGGGUUAGUGCGGUGCUCACGGGAAGCUCCACCACCGCCGCCAUCCACUCUCUGCCAUCACCGGCCACCGUCACCAUGGCCGGCACCGGGAGUUACUCGUCUGGACAAGCAGAAGUUAGGUUUACCGGAAUGAUCUAACCUAUCCGAUCCAAAGCAAUCUAUCAAUGGUAUCAGCCAGAUCGGGUUAGAUUUUUCGGUCGAAAAGAAAUCACAGAAAGAAAUCCCCUCCCCCAAAGAACCCUAGAAGGGCAAAGAAAUCUCAAAGAAUGAAUCCUUAAGGGAAAAAGUAGCGCCGCCGCAAUGGUCGCGUCGUUCCUCUCGAUCCCCACACGCAUCGGCAAGCCGAGGUCCGGGGAAGUAGAACACAGCCUCUCCAAGGGGGCAAAAGGGCACCACCACCGCACCGCUUGACGGCGGGGCGCUCUCCUUCGGGAGCUCGCGCGCACCGGCAAGGGGGACGGGGGAGGCGCCGCUGCAUCGGAUGCCGUCGAACACAAGGGGAAUAGAGGAGGGCUCGACCUCGGAUCUCUCUUUCUCUGUGUCUAAAGAACACGAUGGACGGAGGAAAGGAGAAAGAAAAGCGCGCCGCGGCGUGGCGCGGUGGUCGCCGGCGCCCUGGUCGCGGUGCAGUCCCACGGCGAGCGGGAUAGAGACAAAGAGGCGGGGAGCAGAGGACGCGCAGCCGUCGCUCUCUCUCUCUCUCUCAAAAAGAGGAAGGGAAAGGAGGCGCGCGCGGCGCGGUGGCUUCCGCCCCCGCCGCCGGCGGCCGGACCGGGCGACCGGGGCGAACCCUCUCUCUGCCGUCGCCGGCGAAAGAGACGAGGAGAAGCGAGCGGCGCGCGCGGGGGGAAACUGGUUAGGGUUCACGCUUGUUUCGAUCGGGGCGGCUGUUUUGUUCGUCCGAUCCGCGCGCUGGACCGUCGGAUGAAAUCCGACGGCCAGGCAGCAAACCCUAAGUCGCGUCGGGCCAAGUGGGCCGAAAGUGAAGGCGGGCGCAGCCGCGUGCUGGGCCGCGGCCAGCAGCCGCGCAUGCGCUGGGCCGAGGCUGCAGCUGCGGGCGGCCCAAGCCGGGUCGAGGCGACUCGGCUCGCGCGAGCGCGCGGGGGAGUAGGCCGUGGGCCGUCGCGGGUCUUCCGCGCCAGGCCGCGCCAGGCUGCAGCUGGCUAAUUUUUCUUUUCUAUAGUCUUUCUGUUCAAAUUAAUCCAAAGAUUUUUUGUCCAGAAAAAGAAAUGUUCAUGAAUUUUAUAAAGAAAAUUAAAAAGUUCAUGAUUUAUUAUUCGGUCAAAGAAAAGUUUCUGUAAAUAGUAAAAGUUCGUGAAUUUUUAUUCAUGAUUUUCCGCUGCAUAAAUAAUUAAUAAUGCUCUUUUACAAAGAAAAUAAAAGUUUAUAUAGAAUGAAGGUUUUAAGAGCAUGUUAAAGAGAUUAUUAAAAUGAAUAUGAUUAUGUUAUUUUUUAUGACCAACGUUGUUAAUAACAUGAUCAUGUUUUAUUAUUGAAAUUUAAAGGUGCAUUUAUUUCUAAUUUUUGCCCAACAGUAAUAUAGAUUUAAUUGCAUAGACAAUUAUAUGUUUAAUUUGACCAACAUUACAUUAAUGCAUAUGAUUGUUAUAAUUGAUGUCACUUAAAUUGUGAUUUCAGGAGGUUUUCACUUGAUGAGUUGCCUAAAAGAUGUUCCGACACUCAGAGGUGACAAUCACACUGAGUGGAGGAAGAAAGUUGAACUGGCAUUUGUCUGUGCUGAUCUGGACUGGGUUCUGGAUGAACUACAGCCGGCCAGACCUACAGAGUCAGUAAGAGAGGCCACUGAUGAUGAUGCUGCGUGGACUAAAAAGAGGGGGGAUUAUGCUCCUUUGGAGAUGUCCUACAUCAUAGAAAACCAAAAGUGGGUCAAUGCAAACAAAAAGUGCAUGGCCUUUAUAAAGAAUACAAUUGAGAGCGCCAUUGUGGGCUCCAUUGCAGAGUGCACUUCCGCAGGGGAGUUGCUUUCAAAGAUAAAGAGCCAGUUCACUGGCUCUUCAAAGAUAUAUGCCACCCAGGUGUUAGAGCAACUGGUGACAGAACGCUACACAUGUGGUAGUCAUGGAAUAAGAGAGCACAUCCUCAGGAUGAGCAAUAUGGCAGCAAAGCUCAAGCCCAUGGAUGCGGAUCUGGAGAUCAAACCAGCGCUCCUGGUCCACCUUGUCAUGGCUUCACUACCGAAGGAGUUUGAAGCUUUUGUUGUGAACUACAAUAUGUCACCUGGAACAUGGGACAUUGAAAAGACAAUAGCAAUGUGUGUCCAAGAAGAGGACAGACUCAAAGCCUCACAUGGUGGUACACUCAACUAUGUGAAGGGUCACAAGAAAAAGAAUUACAAUCAAAUCAACAAAAGUUCUCCUUCGAAGCCACAAGGAAAAGCUUCCUAUCAGCAUCAGUGUCAGCAACAGCCUUUCCCAAUGGACAAAGACACUUGUCUCCACUGUAAGAAGACCGGGCAUUACAAGAAAGACUGUCCUGAUUGGCUAAAGUCAAUCAUGGCAAAAAGAGGUAACAAUAUAGUUUCAUUUGUAAAUGAAUCCCUGUAUGCACAGUUUUCAAAAUCCACUUGGUGGAUUGACUCAGGAGCAACUGUUCAUGUUGCAAAUUCUUUACAGGGAUUCCAUUCGACACGGACUACGCUAAGAAGCGAAAGACGCAUUGAAGUGGCGAACGGAGUUGAAGCAGAAGUUGAAGCUGUCGGUGAUAUCUCCUUGGAGUUAGCUGAUGGAUUCAAUCUUCUACUUAGAGAUGUUUUAUUUGUUCCAUCAUGUCAUAGAAACUUAAUAAGUGUUUCUUGUUUGGACAAAGAUAAUUAUGAAUGUUAUUUUGGACAUGGCAAGUGUGCCAUUUGGUUAAAUAAUGCUUAUGUGGGUGAUGCUUUACUACAUGAUGAGCUUUAUUUGUUAUCACUUCGUGAAAAAGUUUAUUCCGUUUGCAAUGUGAAAGAACAUGUUUCCGCGUCGAAUAAAGAACAAAAGAAAAGAAAAAGAACAUUCGACUCAUCGAAAUUAUGGCACUGUCGCUUGGGCCAUAUUUCGAAGGGGAGAAUAGAAAGAUUAGUCAAAAGUGAAAUUCUUUCCCCGUUAGAAUUUUCAGACUUAGAACAAUGCAUAGAUUGCGUUAAAGGAAAGUACGUAAAACAAAUCAAAAAAGGUGCAAUCCAUAGCACAGACACACUAGAAAUCAUUCACACUGAUAUUUGUGGACCAUUUUCGGUGAAAAGUGUGGAUGGAUAUGACUCGUUCAUAACAUUCACAGAUGAUUAAUCUCGCUAUGGUUAUAUUUAUCCAAUCAAAGAAAGAUCGGAAGCAUUGGAUAAAUUUAAAAUAUUCAAAGCUGAAGUUGAAAAUCAGCACGAUAAAAGAAUAAAGAUAGUAAGGUCCGACCGUGGGGGAGAGUACUACGGUCGACACACUCCAUAUGGCCAAGUCCUUGGACCUUUUGCGAAGUUCUUGCAGGAGACUGGCAUAGUAGCACAGUAUUCAAUGCCGGGCGAGCCUCGGCAAAAUGGAGUAGCUGAAAGGCGCAACCGCACCCUUAUGGAUAUGGUGCGCAACAUGAUGAGUUAUUCCAACUUGUCAUUGGGAUUAUGGAUGGAGGCGCUUAAAACCGCCAUUCACAUUCUCAAUAGAGUACCAAGCAAGUCGGUGCCCAAAACACCGUACGAGCUAUGGACAGGAAGGAUGCCCUCCCUACAACACUUCAGGGUGUGGGGGUGCCCUGCUGAGGCCAAAAUGUUUAAUCCAAAUAUUGCAAAGUUAGAUCCCAAAACAGUAAGUUGCCACUUCAUUGGCUAUCCAGACAGAUCAAAAUGUUUUCGUUUCUACUGCCCUGACAGAUAUACAAAGUUUGUAGAAACGAGACAUGCAGUCUUCUUAGAGGACAAAAUGACGAGGGGGAGCUUGGUAGCUCGGAAAAUUGAUCUUGAGGAGAAGAGGGUGCAUGCACCUAAUCCGAUGAUUCAGGAGCCAUUUUUCUCACUACCAGUUGCAACUCCACCCAUGACAGCUAUGGAGGAAGACCCGGAACCUGUCCGUCAGGAGCCGACUGAACCCGUUGUUGAGCAUGAAAGGGAGGUGCAACAGCAAAUUUUAGAAGAAGUGCCAGAAGUUGAGGCACAAAAUGUGCCAGAAACUGAGGCUCUUAGAAGGUCUACAAGACCAAGAAAGUCAGCUAUUUCUACUGACUUUAAAGUUUAUAACACAAAAAUGGUUCAUAUGGAAAAAGAUCCCACCUCAUAUGAAGAAGCCAUGAGAAGCCCUCAUUCAUCGAAGUGGAUGAAGGCAAUGGAAGACGAGUUGAAAUCGAUGAGUUCCAAAGAUAUUUGGGACUUAGAGGAAAUUCCAAAAGGAGCCAAAACAGUAGGCUGUAAAUGGGUCUACAAAAUUAAGUAUGACUCUAAAGGGAAUAUAGAAAAGUAUAAAGCACGACUCGUGGCAAAAGGAUUUACACAAAGAGAAGGGAUAGAUUACAAUGAGACAUUUUCUCCAGUCUCAUGUAAGGAUUCCUUCAGAAUCAUAAUGGCAUUAGUUGCUCAUUUUGAUUUAGAGUUACAUCAAAUGGAUGUUAAGACGGCAUUUCUGAAUGGUGAUUUAAAAGAAAAGCCCUACAUGAGACAACCCAAGGGUUUUAUCAUGAAAGGCAAGGAAAAUAUGGGAUGCCGCCUGAAGAAAUCCAUUUAUGGAUUAAGACAAGCCUCUCGGCAGUGGUAUCUAAAGUUUAAUCAAACGAUUAAAAGUUUUGGAUUUAAAGAAAAUAUUGAGGAUAAUUGCAUUUAUGCAAAGUUUAAAAAUGGGAAAUAUAUUUUCCUAAUCUUGUAUGUGGAUGAUAUCCUGCUUGCUAGUAGUGAUGUUAGUCUACUACAAGAAACAAAGAAAUACGUAUCCUCAAAUUUUGACAUAACAGAUCUUGGUGAAGCAUCAUAUGUUUUGGGCAUAGAAAUUCACCGAGAUAGGAACAAUGGAGUCUUAGGACUAUCUCAGAAAGCAUAUUUAGAAAAGGUUCUUAAAAAGUAUAAUAUGCAUGCGAGUAAAGCCACACCUGCUCCAAUAGUCAAGGGCGAUAGUUUUGGAAAAUUCCAAUGUCCCAAGAACCAGUAUGAGAUCGAUCAAAUGAAAGCAGUACCAUAUGCUUCGGCAGUUGGCAGCUUACAGUAUGCACAAGUGUGCACUCGCCCUGACUUAGCUUUUAUCACCGGGGUACUCGAUAGCUAUCAAGAGAAUUCAGACCUAGAGCACUGGAAGAUGGUAAAGAAAGCAUUGCGUUAUGCACAAGGCACGAAGGACUACAUGCUAAUAUAUAGGAGAAGUGAUUCCCUAGAGAUAAAAUGGUAUUCAGACGCAGAUUUUGCGAGGGACAGAGAUGAUAGAAAAUCCACGUCAGGAUACAUAUUCACCCUCGCUAGGGGAGCUAUUUCGUGGAAAAGCUCCAAACAGUCGAUAGUUGCAUCAUCCACGAUGUAUGCAGAAUUCAUAGCAUGCUUCGAAGCCACGGGGCAGGCGAUAUGGCUAAAGAAAUUUAUACCCGACUUGAAAGUGGUAGAUUGCAUUCACAAACCACUAAAGAUGUACUGUGAUAACCAGCCCGCAGUAUUCUAUGCUCACAACAACAAGUCGAGUAAUGCUGCCAAAACAAUAGAGAUAAGGUAUUAUGUUGUGAAAGAUAAAAUCCAGGAUCAAACUAUAAGUCUCGAGCAUAUAAGGACAAAGGAUAUGCUUGCGGAUCCGCUAACGAAAGGCUUACCACCCAAUGUGUUCAAGGAACACUUAGCCGGCAUGGGUUUAAGGUAAAGCCUUAUGAUUCCUGGAUAGGCCCAAAAGGAACAUAAUUUGUUUCUGAACAUAACGUAUGUUGUAGCUGUAUGAUUCUAACGGCAAUUAUGCCGUGACAAUGAAACAUGCUCUAUGUACCAAUAUGUGAUGAAACAAAUAACCUAGAAAGUAUAAAGUUAAAAGUAAAGUUGAGAUCGAGGGGGAGAAUGUUAGGUUGAUCUCUCUCUCUCCCGUUCGAACCCAACGGGUCGAACGGGCCCCUGACUCGCGCCCUGAUCGGGGGCGCCAACCAAACCAUGGUUGGUGGGCCCCUGUGACCCGCGCUAUAUAAACAGAGGUGGGGGCCGGGGCACGACUUACGAGGUUAAUCGCUGCCACAAUCCCCACCUACAAUCCCUACCGAUCUAGGGUUAGCGCGGUGCUCACGGGAAGCUCCACCACCGCCGCUAUCCACUCUCUGCCAUCACCGGCCACCGUCACGCCAUGGCCGGCACCGGGAGUUCCUCGUCUGGACAAGCAGAAGGUAGGUUCACCGGAAUGAUCUAACCUAUCCGAUCCAAAGCAAUCUAUCGUUCCUCUCUUAUAGAAUUCAACAAUCACAGUACAGAGUACUUGUACAACUUUAUUGUCUGGACUUCGUACUCGUUCCUCUCUUAUUUCAUAGGCAUACAUGAGGUAAUACAUCUGUCUACAGUUUUACUCACGAAGAUGACAGCGUUGCACUCUAGUGCAGCUUCUCGUGGGCUUCCCUCCUUUCCUGGGCGAUGAACUCGAACAGGCUACCAUCAAAGCAGCGGCGAACAGCUUCUCUGGAGAGGAAGCCUUCCUCAUCCUUGGCAAGCACGUAAAGCAGUAUCCACUUCCCCUUGCUCACAAUCCUGAACACACAUAAGUUCACACCAAACAUGAGUGCAACAACGCUUCCGCAGUUCAUUUUGCGUUACUGACUGCUCAUGAAACAAAAGAUGCGAUCGAAACGGUUUGAUGCCAUCUAAUUCAUUUAUUGUCCCAAAUUAUUGCAUAGGAGUAUGAAACACCAAAAGCAACUCAAGUAAACUGCCAAUGAAAUGAGAAUUCGCGAGUGCUCUGCUCACCAUCCAAUGAAGUCGAAGUUCAGCC